rnacentral:rRNA from 1 species
GAUGAACGCUGGCGGCGUGCCUAAUACAUGCAAGUCGAGCGAAUGGAUUAAGAGCUUGCUCUUAUGAAGUUAGCGGCGGACGGGUGAAUAACACGUGGGUAACCUGCCCAUAAGACUGGGAUAACUCCGGGAAACCGGGGCUAAUACCGGAUAACAUUUUGAACCGCAUGGUUCGAAAUUGAAAGGCGGCUUCGGCUGUCACUUAUGGAUGGACCCGCGUCGCAUUAGCUAGUUGGUGAGGUAACGGCUCACCAAGGCAACGAUGCGUAGCCGACCUGGUCGGGGGGUCGGCCAAACUGGGACUGAGACACGGCCCAGACUCCUACGGGAGGCAGCAGUAGGGAAUCUUCCGCAAUGGACGAAAGUCUGACGGAGCAACGCCGCGUGAGUGAUGAAGGCUUUCGGGUCGUAAAACUCUGUUGUUAGGGAAGAACAAGUGCUAGUUGAAUGAGCUGGCACCUUGACGGUACCUAACCAGAAAGCCACGGCUAACUACGUGCCAGCCGCCGCAGUAA